rnacentral:rRNA from 1 species
CACGCCGUAAACGAUGUCAACUAGCCGUUGGAAGCCUUGAGCUUUUAGUGGCGCAGCUAACGCAUUAAGUUGACCGCCUGGGGAGUACGGCCGCAAGGUUAAAACUCAAAUGAAUUGACGGGGGCCCGCACAAGCGGUGGAGCAUGUGGUUUAAUCCGAAGCAACGCGAAGAACCUUACCAGGCCUUGACAUCCAAUGAACUUUCCAGAGAUGGAUUGGUGCCUUCGGGAACAUUGAGACAGGUGCUGCAUGGCUGUCGUCAGCUCGUGUCGUGAGAUGUUGGGUUAAGUCCCGCAACGAGCGCAACCCUCAUCCUUAGUUGCUCGUCCGCAAGGAAAGCACCCUAAGGGAACUGCCGGUGAUAAACCGGAGGAAGGUGGGGAUG